UAUUAGCACAUAUGUCAAAUUCCUAAUUAACGUUUAAUUUUUAUACCCAUCGUUUCUUAGAGCCGUAAUUGUGCUGAUAUCAAAACCAGGGAAGAACCUACCAUAUAGAAGUGCUAAAUGCACUUAACGAUCGCGGCGCCUCCUCGGCCACGGGCGUGUUUGGACACUAUUCCCACAUAU
rnacentral:snoRNA from 1 species